AGAGUUUGAGUUAUGGCGUCAGGAUGAACGCUAGCGUACAGGCUUAACACAUGCAAGUCAGGGGCAGCAUGAACUUAGCUUGCUAAGUUGAUGGCGACCGGCGCACGGGUGAGUAACGCGUAUCCACUACCCCUUAGUAGGGCAUAGCCCGUAGAAAUGCGGAUUAAUACCCUAUGUUUUCCGGAGACGGCAUCAGAACUGGAACAAAGAUUGAUCGCUAAGGGAUGGGGAUGCGUACGAUUAGGUUGUUGGCGGGUAACGGCCCACCAAGCCUGCGAUCGUUAGGGGUUCUGAGAGGAAGGUCCCCCACACUGGUACUGAGACACGGACCAGACUCCUACGGGAGGCAGCAGUGAGGAAUAUUGGUCAAUGGGCGUGAGCCUGAACCAGCCAAGUAGCGUGCCAGGACGACGGCCCUACGGGUUGUAAACUGCUUUUAUCAGGGGAUAAAGUGCGGGACGUGUCCCUCAUUGCAGGUACCUGAUGAAUAAGGACCGGCUAAUUCCGUGCCAGCAGCUGC
rnacentral:rRNA from 1 species